GUGCUUGCUUCAGCAGCACAUAUACUAAAAUUGGAACAAUACAGAGAAGAUUAUCAUGGCCCCUGUGCAAGGAUGACAUGCGAAUUUGUGAAGUGUUCCAUAUUUAA
rnacentral:snRNA from 1 species